GUUGUGGCUCAGUGGUAGAGAGCUUGCCUGGCAUGUGAGAGGUCCUGGGUUUGAUCCUCAGCACCACA
rnacentral:tRNA from 1 species